rnacentral:rRNA from 1 species
GACGAACGCUGGCGGCGUGCUUAACACAUGCAAGUCGAACGGAAAGGCCCGGCGUUUGUGGGGUGCUCGAGUGGCGAACGGGUGAGUAACACGUGAGUAACCUGCCCUUGACUUUGGGAUAACUUCAGGAAACUGGGGCUAAUACCGGAUAGGAGCUCCUGCUGCAUGGUGGGGGUUGGAAAGUUUCGGCGGUUGGGGAUGGACUCGCGGCUUAUCAGCUUGUUGGUGGGGUAGUGGCUUUCCAAGGCUUUGACGGGUAGUCGGCCUGCGAGGGUGACCGGCCACAUUGGGACUGAGAUAAGGCACAGACUCCUACGGGAGGCAGAAGUGGGGAAUAUUGCACAAUGGGCGGAAGCCUGUUGCAGCAACGCCGCGUGCGGGAUGACGGCCUUCGGGUUGUAAACCGAUUUCGCCUGUGACGAAGAGUGAGAGACGGUAAUGGGUCAAGAAGCACCGGCUAACUACGUG